AUGGAGGCCACUGCGCUGAGCCUUGGCAAGUCUGUGCUCAAUGGAGCUCUUAGCUACGCCAAAUCAGCGCUGGCGGAGGAGGUGGCUCUGCAGCUUGGAGUCUGCCGUGAUCAACUCUUCAUCACCAAUGAGCUGGAGAUGAUGCAAGCUUUCCUGAUGUCUGCCCAUGACGAGGGAGACAGCAACAUGGUGGUUAAGGUAUGGGUGAAGCAAGUCCGCGAUGUCGCUUACGACGUCGAGGACUCCCUCCAGGAGUUUGCUGUGCGCCUGGAGAAGCAAUCUUGGUGGCGCAUUCAUCGCACACUUCUCGAUCGGCGCCGUGUGGCAAAGCAGAUGAAGGAGCUCAGAGCCACUGUUGAGGAUGUUAGCCAGAGGAACAUGCGCUACAACCUCAUCAAGGGCCCUGGCUCCCGGCCUCCAACCACCGAUGGACAGUUUGCAGUUGCUAGUACAGCUAUGUCUGGCAUCGACGAAGCAAGGCGGCAGCGGGACAGAGCAAAAUUUGAUCUCAUUCGCUUGAUGUACAAGAUGGAGAUUGACCUUAGGGUGAUCUCCGUGUGGGGGAAAUGUAUUGGUGAUCUCCGAGAGACAUCCAUCAUCAGAAGGGCUUAUGAAGAUCCAGAGGUACAUAAGAAGUUCAAAUGCCGAGCCUGGGUUGCUGGGUUGAUGCGACCCUUCAAUUCAACUGAGUUCUUGAAAGGCGUGCUUGAGCAGUUCUACGUUAAUUUUCUUCAAGAGGUGGGGAUAGAAGAAAAAGCAGCUCUUGGAGCCCAAGUUCUGAAGAUCAUGGGGACGAUUGAUGAAGGUGAUUUUGCUCAUGAGGUCAAGAAAUAUCUGAAUGAAAGGAGUUACUUGAUUGUGCUGAAUGAUGUACACAGCAUUGGAGAGUGGGAUCAGAUUAAAACAUGCUUCCCAGACAAUAAGAAGGAAGUCUGCUCUUGGUUUCCACACAGCAAAUUGGAGUUGCAAGCUUAUGCAUAG
rnacentral:rRNA from 1 species